rnacentral:rRNA from 1 species
UACGGGAGGCAGCAGUGGGGAAUAUUGCACAAUGGGCGCAAGCCUGAUGCAGCCAUGCCGCGUGUAUGAAGAAGGCCUUCGGGUUGUAAAGUACUUUCAGUCGUGAGGAAGGUGUUAAGGUUAAUAACCUUAGCAAUUGACGUUAGCGACAGAAGAAGCACCGGCUAACUCCGUGCCAGCAGCCGCGGUAAUACGGAGGGAGCUAGCGUUGUUCGGAAUUACUGGGCGUAAAGCGCACGUAGGCGGCUAUUCAAGUCAGAGGUGAAAGCCCGGGGCUCAACCCCGGAACUGCCUUUGAAACUGAUAGCUUGAAUCCAGGAGAGGUGAGUGGAAUUCCGAGUGUAGAGGUGAAAUUCGUAGAUAUUCGGAAGAACACCAGUGGCGAAGGCGGCUCACUGGGACUGGUAUUGACGCUGAGGUGCGAAAGCGUGGGGAGCGAAACAGGGAUUAGGAUAC